rnacentral:rRNA from 1 species
UACGUAGGGGGCGAGCGUUGUCCGGAUUUAUUGGGCGUAAAGAGCUCGUAGGCGGUUUGGCAAGUCGGGUGUGAAAACUCCGGGCUCAACUCAGAGACGCCACUCGAUACUGCCAUGACUCGAGUCCGGUAGGGGAGUGCGGAAUUCCUGGUGUAGCGGUGAAAUGCGCAGAUAUCAGGAGGAACACCGGUGGCGAAGGCGGCACUCUGGGCCGGUACUGACGCUGAGGAGCGAAAGCGUGGGGAGCGAACAGG